UACGUAGGGACCAAGCGUUGUUCGGAUUUACUGGGCGUAAAGGGCGCGUAGGCGGCGUGGUAAGUCACUUGUGAAAUCUCUGAGCUUAACUCAGAACGGCCAAGAGAUACUGCUGUGCUAGAGUGCAGAAGGGGCAAUCGGAAUUCUUGGUGUAGCGGUGAAAUGCGUAGAUAUCAAGAGGAACACCUGAGGUGAAGACGGGUUGCUGGGCUGACACUGACGCUGAGGCGCGAAAGCCAGGGGAGCAAACGGG
rnacentral:rRNA from 1 species